rnacentral:misc_RNA from 1 species
AUGAAUGGAUUUGGACGCUGCCGUAGCCGGCUCGUCUUGAAAUGCAUUAGCUGUGCGCCCAUUAGUGUGCUCGGUGCUGCGUGAUAAUUUCCUCGGCUCGCCUUAGGCCACUUCCAGUGACGCUGCUUCCAAUGGUCCCUCGCGGACAACUGACAUAAAGCUUUGGCCUCAAAUCAGGUAGGACUACCCGCUGAACUUAA